rnacentral:rRNA from 1 species
AUGUAUAAUAGCACUUGCAUGCCCUCGUCGAUGCCACCACGGGCCAGAAGCGCAUGUGGACGGCGUCCAGUUACGAGCAGGGCAGGCAACUGCUGCCAAGCACCUAUGGGGUCAUCUAAGCAUUUGGAGAGCUACCUGGCAUGUGGUUUGACAGUAUCACAAUCAAAGAAAGGACAUACCAAGUUUCCACAGGUGCUGUCGCUUCUUGCAACGUAUCUUGGCAGGUCCAUUCAGAAAAAUAAAAAAGUACUAGGUUCUAAUGUCAGGUAUACAGCUCUAUGCAGAACGCAUUUUCAAGUACGCCGAGUGCGGGCCAUCUUGCUUUGUGUUGGCACUUGUCUACAUGGAGAGAUAGCUAGCAAGCAAAUGUGCACAUGA